GAAGGAACAUAAAUUGGAGAGAAGACAUGCCCACCACGCCUGGAUCCUCCGGACUGUGUAAUUACGCUUGGAAACUACAUCCCCAAAAAGUAGGGGGGCGGAAACUAGUUCAAAAUUAGAUGUACUAUUAGAAACAUGAAGUCAGAAAACCUUGUCAUGAACAUGAAGACACUUUGAAUCCGCAAAUCACAGAGAAGAAUAUACCAUCAAAGUAGUACCUUAAAGAACUUCUUGAUUUCCCUCAGAAAUUGAAUCUCUUGCAUAUAUUUCUUUAAUGCCAACUAAGCUAUACAUACAUUUACUUAUUUAUUGUUUAGUGUCUAUCAAAUCUGAAGGAUGAGAGACUUAAUCUGUGAAUAUUUUUUCUUCUCAAUGUAAGGUUUUGUAACAUGUACCUUGGAGUAUAACUUCCAGAAAAUCCCUAAAAUUUACCUGAAAAUUAAAUAUUUCAAUAUCACAUAACAGGACAAUUAUUAAAACUAAUUUAAUAAUUUUCUUGUCAUCUGAAAUGUAUAAUUCUGUGGUAAUUUAACUUU
rnacentral:lncRNA from 1 species